rnacentral:rRNA from 1 species
AAUGGGCGCAAGCCUGAUCCAGCCAUGCCGCGUGAGUGAUGAAGGCCCUAGGGUCGUAAAGCUCUUUCGCCUGUGAAGAUAAUGACGGUAGCAGGUAAAGAAACCCCGGCUAACUCCGUGCCAGCAGCCGCGGUAAUACGGAGGGGGUUAGCGUUGUUCGGAAUUACUGGGCGUAAAGCGCGCGUAGGCGGACUAUUAAGUCAGAGGUGAAAUCCCGGGGCUCAACCCCGGAACUGCCUUUGAUACUGGUAGUCUUGAGUUCGAGAGAGGUAAGUGGAAUUCCGAGUGUAGAGGUGAAAUUCGUAGAUAUUCGGAGGAACACCAGUGGCGAGGGCGGCUUACUGGCUCGAUACUGACGCUGAGGUGCGAAAGUGUGGGGAGCAAACAGGAUU